rnacentral:rRNA from 1 species
UACGGGAGGCAGCAGUGGGGAAUAUUGCACAAUGGGCGAAAGCCUGAUGCAGCUAUGCCGCGUGUAUGAAGAAGGCCUUAGGGUUGUAAAGUACUUUCAUCGGGGAGGAAAAACAAAACUAAUAAUUUUAUUUCUUGACGUUACCCGAAAAAGAAGCACCGGCUAACUCCGUGCCAGCAGCCGCGGUAAUACGGAGGGUGCUAGCGUUAAUCAGAAUUACUGGGCGUAAAGAGCACGUAGGUGGUUUUUUUAAGUCAGAUGUGAAAUCCCUGGGCUUAACCUAGGAACUGCAUUUUGAAACUGAAAUACUAGAGUAUCGUAGAGGGAGGUAGAAUUCUAGGUGUAGCGGUGAAAUGCGUAGAUAUCUAGAGGAAUACCUGUGGCGAAAGCGGCCUCCUAAACGAAUACUGACACUGAGGUGCGAAAGCGUGGGGAGCAAACAGGGAUUAGAUACC